rnacentral:rRNA from 1 species
GACGAACCGUGCGAACGUUGUUCGGAAUCACUGGGCUUAAAGGGCGCGUAGGCGGGCGGGCAAGCCCGGGGUGAAAUCGUUCGGCUCAACCGGACAAGGGCCUCGGGGACUGCCGGCCUGGAGGGAGGUAGGGGCCGCGGGAACUUCCGGUGGAGCGGUGAAAUGCGUUGAUAUCGGGAGGAACACCUGUGGCGAAGGCGGUGGCCUGGACCGGUGCUGACGCUGAGGCGCGAAGGCGUGGGGAGCGAUCCGG